CACACGACUCUCGGCAACGGAUAUCUCGGCUCUCGCAUCGAUGAAUAACGUAGCGAAAUGCGAUACCUGGUGUGAAUUGCAGAAUCCCGCGAACCAUCGAGUCUUUGAACGCAAGUUGCGCCCGAGGCCACUCGGCCGAGGGCACGCCUGCCUGGGCGUCACGC
rnacentral:rRNA from 1 species